rnacentral:rRNA from 1 species
UACGGGGGGGGCAAGCGUUGUUCGGAAUUACUGGGCGUAAAGGGCUCGUAGGCGGCCAACUAAGUCAGACGUGAAAUCCCUCGGCUUAACCGGGGAACUGCGUCUGAUACUGGAUGGCUAGAGGUUGGGAGAGGGAUGCGGAAUUCCAGGUGUAGCGGUGAAAUGCGUAGAUAUCUGGAGGAACACCGGUGGCGAAGGCGGCAUCCUGGACCAAUUCUGACGCUGAGGAGCGAAAGCCAGGGGAGCGAACAGG